AAGGGCACCACAAGAACGCGUGGAGCAUGUGGCUUAAUUUGACUCAACGCGGGAAAUCUUACCGGGUCCGGACACACUGAGGAUUGACAGACAAUCGUAUUAAUUAAAAUUAAUAUUUUAAUUUUUACACAAUAAAGAUGCUAGUUCUUUCAUGAUUAUGUGAUAGGUGGUGCAUGGCCGUUCUUAGUUCGUGGAGUGAUCUGUCUGCUUAAUUGCGUUUCACAAUUGAUGAAUAAAUUUAAUAAAAUUAAAUAAUCUUGACCCCUGUAUAUUUUAAUGCAGUGCGUGUCUCGUUAUUAUAAAAUUUUUAUUCUAGGAAAGCAACGAACGUGACCGUAUCCUUUUGUUAACUCUCACUUAAUAGUAGAGUUUGAAUAUUAUUCUUAAAACUAAAGGGACCGCUGUUUCUUUUCUUAAACCCAGAGGAAGGUUACAGCAAUAACAGGUCUGUGAUGCCCUUAGAUGUUCCGGGCUGCACACGUGCUACAAUGAUUAUUUCAUUAAGCAUCUGCGUUUAAUAUUAAUUAUUAAAAUUAAAUAUGUGCCUUCUUCGAAAGUAAGCGGGUAAUCAAUUACAAGUAAUGAUUUCCCUUAAUUAAUAUAUGCACUCAUAUACGGUAUUUAAUAUCCCACACUUUAUUCUAUGUAUUAUGAGCGUGUGUAUCUUAUGCAAGUUAAUUUAAUUGUUAGCUUUUUAUCGUAUGUACAUUUGUCAAUUCAUAGUGGGGACAGACCAUUGUUAAUUGUUGGUCUCGGUCUUAACUAGGAAUGCCUUGUACGAGUCUUUGGUUCAACAAACCACCAGGAAUACGUCCCUGCCCUUUGUACACACCGCCCGUCGCUCUUACCGAUGAACUUCGCUAUGAGUUUGAAGGAAUAUUAAAGGAAAGAUAUAUGAAUAGUGUGGUUUAAAGGAAAGAGAAGU
rnacentral:rRNA from 1 species